GACGAACGCUGGCGGCGUGCUUAACACAUGCAAGUCGAACGGAAAGGCCCUGCUUUUGUGGGGUGCUCGAGUGGCGAACGGGUGAGUAACACGUGAAUAACCUGCCCUUGACUUUGGGAUAACUUCAGGAAACUGGGGCUAAUACCGGAUAGGAGCUCCUGCUGCAUGGUGGGGGUUGGAAAGUUUCGGCGGUUGGGGAUGGACUCGCGGCUUAUCAGCUUGUUGGUGGGGUAGUGGCUUACCAAGGCUUUGACGGGUAGCCGGCCUGAGAGGGUGACCGGCCACAUUGGGACUGAGAUACGGCCCAGACUCCUACGGGAGGCAGCAGUGGGGAAUAUUGCACAAUGGGCGGAAGCCUGAUGCAGCAACGCCGCGUGCGGGAUGACGGCCUUCGGGUUGUAAACCGCUUUCGCCUGUGACGAAGCGUGAGUGACGGUAACGGGUAAAGAAGCACCGGCUAACUACGUG
rnacentral:rRNA from 1 species